rnacentral:lncRNA from 1 species
UAUUUUGGAAGAGGCGCGAGAAAUGUAAACAUUGUUGCUCGCGUUCCUGGGAGCUUGAAGAAAUUUACGAGAUUCAACAUUUCUACGGAAUUGUGAGCAUCACCUGUCCAAUGUAACUGUGCAGUACAGUACUGUAAACAGUGGUUUUUAACGCAAUAUCUUUCGGAGACAACUGAAAGCGAGCAUUCGAAGUUCGGAACUAUCAACGCACAUGGUUGCUGAGAGUCAACAGCUGUCUCCUGAGCAUCUAUCUACCAUUUCGUGUGGCGAAGACUGGCUUCAUCGCCGGACAGACAUCUUUGGAGUUUUAUGAAGGAGUCAACAACAUUAUGACUUGACUACAUUAGUUUUCAAACUCCAAUCAGUGGUACUCUUCAGAGAGGACGAGGAGAUGGCGAUAAUUGACAGCAUUGAAAUGACCAAGUCUCCCACUCCCAUGCUGGUGACAAAUAACACCUUCCAAGAUGUCAUGACCACAAGAGAAAAAGCACACUGCUCGUUUUUCAGAAGGAAAUCCAAAUGUGCCAGCAUCUGCAUGCGAACUUGCAAAAUUUACUUUUAAAUUUUAUUUAUACA